ACGUAAUAGAUACCCGGGUAGUCCACGCCCUAAACGAUGUCUACUAGUUGUCGGGUUUUAAUUAACUUGGUAACGCAGCUAAACGCGUGAAAGUAGACCGCCUGGGGAGUACGGUCGCAAGAUUAAAACUCAAAGGAAUUGACGGGGACCCGCACAAGCGGUGGAUGAUGUGGAUUAAUUCGAUGCAACGCGAAAAACCUUACCUACCUUGACAUGGCAGGAAUCCUGAAGAGAUUUGGGAGUGCUCGAAAGAGAACCUGCACACAGGUGCUGCAUGGCUGUCGUCAGCUCGUGUCGUGAGAUGUUGGGUUAAGUCCCGCAACGAGCGCAACCCUUGUCAUUAGUUGCUACGAAAGAGCACUCUAAUGAGACUGCCGGUGACAAACCGGAGGAAGGUGGGGAUGACGUCAAGUCCUCAUGGCCCUUAUGGGUAGGGCUUCACACGUCAUACAAUGGUACAUACAGAGGGCCGCCAACCCGCGAGGGGGAGCUAAUCCCAGAAAGUGUAUCGUAGUCCGGAUUGUAGUCUGCAACUCGACUAC
rnacentral:rRNA from 1 species